AAUAAGAUUAUUUUUUGUUUUUCUGUGUCCAAUGUUUGAUCAUUCAUCUUAUUUAAAAAAUUUUUACGAUUAAUACUUUUGUUCUUACUAGAUGAUAAAACAUGAAUAAUACUUUAUACGUGACUAAUUUUUUUAGUUUUUAUAUAAAUUUUUCAAAUAAGAUGAAUGGUCAAACGCUGGACACGGAAAAACGAAAAAUGAUCUUAUU
rfam:Oryza brachyantha chromosome 10, whole genome shotgun sequence.